CCCAGACUCCUACGGGAGGCAGCAGUGGGGGAUAUUGCACAAUGGGGGAAACCCUGAUGCAGCGACGCCGCGUGGGUGAAGAAGCGCCUCGGCGCGUAAAGCCCUGUCAGCAGGGAAGAAAAUGACGGUACCUGAAGAAGAAGCCCCGGCUAACUACGUGCCAGCAGCCGCGGUAAUACGUAGGGGGCAAGCGUUAUCCGGAUUUACUGGGUGUAAAGGGGGCGCAGACGGCGAUGCAAGCCAGGAGUGAAAGCCCGGGGCCCAACCCCGGGACUGCUCUUGGAACUGCGUGGCUGGAGUGCAGGAGGGGCAGGCGGAAUUCCUGGUGUAGCGGUGAAAUGCGUAGAUAUCACGCAGAACCCCGAUUGCGAAGGCAGCAUGCCGGCUUCCGACUGACGCUGAAGCACGAAAGCGUGGGGAUCGAACAGGAUUAGAUACCCUCGUA
rnacentral:rRNA from 1 species